UACAGAGGUCUCAAGCGUUGUUCGGAUUCAUUGGGCGUAAAGGGUGCGUAGGCGGGCAGGUAAGUCAGUGGUGAAAUCUCCGAGCUUAACUCGGAAACUGCCAUUGAUACUAUUUGUCUUGAAUAUUGUGGAGGUAAGCGGAAUAUGUCAUGUAGCGGUGAAAUGCUUAGAUAUGACAUAGAACACCAAUUGCGAAGGCAGCUUACUACACAAUGAUUGACGCUGAGGCACGAAGGCGUGGGGAUCAAACAGG
rnacentral:rRNA from 1 species